rnacentral:rRNA from 1 species
UUACUCCUACGGGAGGCAGCAGUGCGGAAUAUUAGAUAAUGGAGGCAACUCUGAUCUAGCGACGCCGCGUGCAGGAAGAAGGUCUUCGGAUUGUAAAAAAAGAAGGUAAGGGAAAAAUGCCAUGUAGAGUGGAAAGCUACAUGGAGGGAUGGUACUUUACUAGAAAGCCCCGGCUAACUACGUGCCAGCAGCCGCGGUAAUAA